rnacentral:lncRNA from 1 species
CGGAUUUGAAAAGAAGUAUACUGUAUACAUAUAUAAACGAGAAACCGGUGCAUUUUCUACAGCACCCAUAGCUGAAGUAGUAAUCACCGACAACAAAUUAACAGCAUAACUAAGUCAAUAACCCCCAGAACAAAAAACAGCAGAUAUAGUUAGUAACCAUUCUAAAAUAUUACAUUCACAAACACAUGUUGACUCGUUGAGAACAAAGAAGCACUAGCAAAAUCGCAGAAAUAUCGAAGAAUGGAAUUUUUUUCAUAACAAAAGUAGUAGAAGAAUCAAUUUCAGUAAAAAAAAACCUUUGAGUGGCGAAGUCGAAAUCGAUGGCAAACAAAUGUCGAACAAUGAUGAUGACCUGGUGUAAGCUGGACUGUGUGACUGGUGGAUGUUGGACGAUGAUGACUAGCAGUAGGGAUUUUGGGACUUCAGAGAUUUUAGAUCAUGGAUUUUUAAUUUAGGGUUAG